CGCCCCUUCCCAAUCACCAUUUAUGUAAGUCUCUUUUGUCUGGAGAUGAGGAUGUGCUGGGACCAGAGAGGAUGGAGGUCCUUGGGCCCUUCAUCCAGUUCCCUACCUUUCCGCCUUCACAGCGAUCCCCUCCGUUACCCCCAUCUUCCCUCAUCUCCGGACAGACUGAUCCUGAGGGUCCUGAGGAGCCUAAGCCACAGGGAGUGAGGGGAGAAUGAUUCUUAAUCCUGCAAAUUGGAAUCUGUUUCUUCUAUAUCUUGCAUAUGCAACCACCCAUAGAGAUUUUUGCUGCAAAGGUCUUUAUCCUCAGGCAAG